rnacentral:lncRNA from 1 species
ACACAGCGUCUUACCUAGAAUAGCAGCAACUUACUCCUUUAGCUACAUAUAUUUUCAUUCGUGGACCUCUAACAGACAAAUAAUAUAACUUGAGAGAAUUUCAGAGUACUACUUUUUAGCCUCAAAGACGUUCUUCCAACUAUCCACUAUUGAUACAUUUAAAUAAUUUAUUAAAAAAUUUACAAACACUUCAAAUAAAAUUAUGAAGUUCUUCAGAAGAUAUUCCUAAAAUAUAGGCAUGUUUUCCUUUAAAUAUCUGGGAUUCUAUCUACAGUGCCUCUGUUAUAUUCAUUCAAAUUAUUCUUAUAAUCUAAAACAAUGAAGCUUCUCAACUGGUGGAAUGCUGCCAGAGGAUUUCAACAGAGUUUGAAGGCAACAUAACCAAAAGGCAUAGUUUAAAUUGGCUUAGGAAAUGAAUGGGCUCCUUAUCAGAGCAGCUGAAGGCUGUAUACAAUUAACAGCAUCUGUCAACUUUCAUAGGGCCCCAUAUAGAACAAGCAGGCCCUACAGCCUGGCGGCAACCUUCAGCUUCUGGCACCUUCGGAUCCACAUGACCUGAAAACAGAAAGACGGCUUCAAGCCAUCACUAGAAGGCCUCUGAAUCAUUUUAGUGAUAUUGCUAAUUAAUGUUAAUUAUUUGAACAAUUCUGUUAACCUUAGCAUCAGGCUUUAAAUUAACCAGCUACCAUUCAAAAUAUAAAAUCAUUUGUAGAGAUAAGUUUAUAUUUAUAAUAACUGAUUUUACAGUCUCUUACAUGUUAUUUUUAUUUUUAAAGACUAUGAAAAUUAUCUACCUACCUGCCUUUUUAUAUGAUGAACUCUCAAAUCAGCUAAAAUAUUUUUGUAUGAAGAGUACUAAAUUCAUUAUAUGGCAAUUUUUAAUUGUUUUUGUAUAUAAUACAUUUCUCUCAUGAGCAUGUACAAAACAAAGCAAAUCCAGAGUUUCAUUAAAUAAAUUUAUUUGUUAAAAUAAUUUAACUCCAAAUACAACUGUUGAAUUUGCAUUGAGUUAU